AAGCCUCGACGUGCAGCAAUGGGAAAUCGAGGAGGGGGAGUAUGCAGCGCAAGAGCAUGUAGGACGGUAAUGGAACCGCCCCCCCAUUCACCUACACAGAGUUCAGCUCGGUUCGUCCCCUCCUCCCAUGACCUCUGACCUCGCAUUCGAUUUUGUUUACCCAAUCUGUCUCGGGUUGAAUUACAGUAUCGAUAGUUUUGCUGAAAAUCGAUUGAAUUUUAUCUGAAAUCAACACUUCAGUGCGAGAUCGCAAACGAAACCCUAGCAAAGCGGGGCUAAAAACCUGUAGUUUGCGUAGCCUAAUCCAUUUGAUUCUGCCGAAAUCAGUAGUACAGUCAACAAGAUAGAUAAACAAGAGCUCAAUGGGUCCACAUCUUCAACUAAGGGGUGUUUGUUUCUUUAGUCCCUCCUAAAAUUUAUGUCACAUCGAAUAUUUAGAUACCAAUUAGGAGUAUUAAAUAUAGAUUAAUUACAAAACCAAUUGCACAGAUGGAGACUAAUUUGCGAGACGAAUCUAUUAAACCUAAUUAGUUCAUGAUUUGACAAUGUGAUGCUACAGUAAACAUGUGCUAAUGAUGGAUUAAUUAGGCUUAAUAGAUUCGUCUCGUGAAUUAGCCUCCAUCUGUGUAAUUAGUUUUAUAAUUAGCUCAUAUUUAGUCCUCCUAAUUAGUCUCCGAAUAUUCGAUGUGACAUAAAUUUUAGGAGAUCCUAAAGAUCCAAACACCCCCUAAUUAAAUAUGUGCAAAUGUACUCACACAAUCGGCACAAAUGCCCCCAAACCACAACCACUGCUCUGAUGGGGACAUUAGCAUACCCAAAAUUGAUGCAGAGCCAGUCUUGCCAAACUCAUGGUUAGCCAAUACAGGCUCACCCAUAUGUGCCGUCCUGUUGGCAAAUGAUACAGCGCUUCUCUAAUCUCUACUGGACGUUCACUGCUGCUGAUAAUUGAUUUCGUUGCUUGGCUUGAGGAGUAACACAUAAUCAUCAGGAUAGGCUAAACUUCUCUCAUUUCGUUCUUGAGAGGUCAGGAAAUACGUGUGCAUCUGCUGAAGGGUCACCGAUGCUGACCAAUUUUUUUUGAGAGCUGGUUCAAGCAUUGCCCCUUGAGCCCACCAGUCUUUUGUUUUCGUCCAUGUACCAUCUCUUCAAUCUCUCUUGAGCAAGCGCCACCUGCAAAUAGGAACAAUGAAUAGUUCAGUAUUUUUGAAGAUUGCAAAUAGCAUAGCUAAGCAGAACACUUAGCAAACAGUGAGUGAGUCAAGGUAACCUGUUUUUCCCAGUCGGUCUUUAAUGUUAUGAACAGAAGCACAAUAGUUUGGACUAGUGUUCCCAGCAACAUGCCAAUCCAAAUGCCCUACACAACAGGCAACCAAGUGGAGUGAGGAACACAACUUCGCUAAGAUGCACCCGACAUAAUGGUAAUACCAAACUGCAGUAUGAUCGUACCUUUACAUGAUAUCCCACCACAUAGCCUAGGACUGCUCCAAGAGGAAUGCCAAUCAAGUAGUACGAUGUAAUGUUAACAUAGGCAACUACACUUUGCCAGCCAGCACCAACAGCGACACCUGCAGAUGAUGAAAUGACAUUUUAGUAUCAGUAAAAUAAGGUACAUUGCACCAAUCUCUAUCAUCCAGUAGAACUGAGAAUCAUACCUGAUAGCACUGGUUGGACACUGUUUAACAAUAUGGAGAAGGCUAGCAGAGGCGAGAGGUCAGCCACUGCGUCGGCCACUGCUCGACUCUCAGUGAAUAUGUAGGCAAGGCUUCCACGGAAGAAAAGGAAGAGCACAAAUAGCACAAAUCCAAUCAAGGAAGAAGUGAUGACGACAUUGUAGAUCGCGAACUUGGCCCUUGUUGCACUCCCAGCUCCAAGCUCAUUUGCCACCCGCACCCUGAAAAUGCAUUGCAUUAACAUCAAGAUUGUAGGAAGAAGAACAAAAUUUAUGAAUAAAAAUUUAAAGAUAAAGUAAUUACCCUGUUGCAGCCAGGAAGCCGAGAGAAAUCAUCAUCUCCCAACCGUUGAUGUUGAGGCUGCACAGUUCACAAAUAGAUACCACACUGCUUAGUUAUGCCGUUUGUGAUCACAAAAGGAACAUCAUGACAAGCACAAUGACAUGCAGCUACUAUUCUGGUAGUUAACACCAAUUACGAGUGGAGAGACCAGAGUAUAUCUGUGUAUGGAAGAAGUAUGAAUAACAACUACUGAAUGGAGCUAGCAUAGAGUAAUCUGUAUAUUACCAUAUUGAAAGGGCAUCAAGUGCAAUUUCUGCAUUCUUCAUAUACCCUGUGAGGAGCACCAAUAUGGUGUAGUACCACAAUUCCAAACUGAAAGGCCAAGCAGAUCAAUGAAUAUCUAUUUUUUUCCAUUCUGAAACUGCAUUAUAUUAUGCAUAUUGAACCAUAAAUAUGCUGCUUAAUUACCAGAGCAUGACACCAGAAGACAGCGAGAGCUUGAUGAUGGAACCGAGGUCAGUGAGAGCAGCAGAUGAGAACCCGGUCCACGUGAGAGGGCAACCACCGCAGAAGACAAAGGCAAGCUGC
rnacentral:lncRNA from 1 species